CAGCCCUUAAGGUCUUAGGUGGUUUUAUAGAAGUGAGCCAGAGGUCCUAUCCUUACAGCCUUACAGCUUGAUGUUUGUUUUCAGUUUUAUAGUACUUCCUGUUCUGGAUGUGCACAGCUGUUUUAUUGAAGACUGCUGGUAUUAGAAAGGGUUUUCUAAAAGGACUAAGAGUGGUCGCUAACUGUAUCUCUUCCCUUUAGGACAGUGAGGCCAGGUGGUUUUAGUGGGCCAUCACUCCACGCUCCCAGUACCAACUGGCAUAGCCAAGGCACAGACACCUGCUCUCUCUCUGUGCUAGGGAAGCAGUAAACCAUAGCAAGGAGGAGGACAAACCUCUGGACACAGAAAUCUCCUCAGCUGCCACAGCUAAAUCUGCCAGGAGCUGUAUAUUGAAACCUUUACCUUAGGGAUGGUACACGACCUCACAUGGCUGCUCCUCUUCUCUUCAGAGCACGGGCUCUCCAUGGUCUCUCAUCAAGCAAAGAGAUGGAGAAGAAGGGCUGCAUGAAAAUAAUAAUAACAAGCAUACCAGCAUCAACAAGGUUUCCUGCUCACCCUACGUCCAUUGCUCUUGACUCCUUGAGGCUGGAGAAAAUACACUAAGUGAGAACUUCCUGCAGAUGAGUCCUGGGCUUUUCUCUGUUCCUGAAGCCCCAUUGCAAAGGUGACAGCUCUGUUGCCUGCCCUCCUCUUCUGGCCCUGCACCAUGGGCAGUGGGAGAAACUGAACCAUAGCACUCCACGCUUGCGUUGUCACGCAAAUGACCUCACAUUCUUAUGACAUUAGGGUUGGGUGCCAGUUAGUGGAAGAUCUGAAUACCCUUCCUUACCAGCUGCCCUCAUAGCAUUCCCUUGUGAGAGCUUCCAUAGGGAAGCUGGGAUGACAAUUCCCCCUGCAGUGCCUACAUAGGUGUUACUGCAGGAGUUAGGAAUCUGAUUUCUUCCUUUCGCUCUCCCUAGGAAUCUUUUUGGCCCAUAUGCUUAUUUAAAAAGGUGUGCUCACAAUAAAUUAAUAUCGUCCCUCCA
rnacentral:lncRNA from 1 species